rnacentral:rRNA from 1 species
GACGAACGCUGGCGGCGUGCUUAACACAUGCAAGUCGAACGGAAAGUCCCUGCGUUUGCGGGGUGCCCGAGUGGCGAACUGGGGAGUAACGCGUGGGUAAUCUCCCCUUGACUUCGGGAUAACUUCAGGAAACUGAGGCUAAUACCGGACAGGUGCUCCUGCUGCAUGGUGGGGGUUGGAAAGUUUCGGCGGUGAGGGCUGGACUCGCGGCUUAUCAGCUUGUUGGUGGGGUAGUGGCUUACCAGGGCUUGGCCGGGUAGCCGGCCUGAGAGGGUGACCGGCCACAUUGGGACUGAGAUACGGCCCAGCCUCCUACGGGAGGCAGCAGUGGGGAAUAUUGCACAAUGGGCGGAAGCCUGAUGCAGCAACGCCGCGUGCGGGAUGACGGCCUUCGGGUUGUAAACCGCUUUCGCCUGUGACGAAGCGUGAGUGACGGUAAUGGGUAAAGAAGCCCCGGCUAACUACGUG